UCGGAUCAGCGAUCCGGGGCUCUUGAGAAAACAUCCGGGGCUUGAGCCCAAGUAGCCACCCCCUAGAUCCGCCGAUGAGGCCACUGAAAAGCCAAACACAGUGCGCCCUUGUAUUUGCUUAGUUGCGCCACAGCUAGACGUGCAUGAAUGCUCCGCUAACAACUGUGACUGAGGCCACAUAUGGCCACAGUCAUUUAAAGCAUUUGUUGGCUAAUAGAGAAUUUACUGGCAGCAAAUGUGAUGAGGAAGUGUUGACUCUACCAAGCUGAAUAAUCAUGUGAAACUCAAGGAAGUACUUUUGCACGGAACCCUACAUAACCAGCAGCUUUUUGCAUAGUCACAUUUGUUCUAAACUCUGCUGGACAGAUACGUAAUGGGAAAGAACUGGUACUGGAUGUCUGGAGACUCCACUGAUUUCACCAAAUGGCCCGCAGACUUCGUCCCUCAACGUUUGUCCAACUCCUGUGGAGGCAUGGCCAGCAGGGAGAGCUUCCUGUGGACGGAAAUGCCCUGUCAGGAGCUGCUCAACUUCAUCUGCCAGUCAGGUGUUGAGGACGGCGCACAAAGAGUUUAUUACUACAGCACCAGGACAGCCACAAGUCCAUAGCAAAGGUGGAAGAUACUGUAUAUGCUGGAAUGCAUAUUUAGUUUAAUAAAAUAGCUUGAAACUUG